rnacentral:rRNA from 1 species
CCUGGUUGAUCCUGCGAGUAGUCAUAUGCUUGUCUCAAAGAUUAAGCCAUGCAUGUCUAGUGCAUGCCGAAUUAAGGUGAAACCGCGAAUGGCUCAUUAAAUCAGUUAUGGUUCAUUAGAUUGCACCCACAUUUACUUGGAUAACUGUGGUAAUUCUAGAGCUAAUACAUGCAAAACAGAGUCCCGACCAGUGAUGGAAGGGACGCUUUUAUUAGAUCAAAACCAAUCGGUGGCGGACGGGUAACCGCCCGUCCACCGUUUACUUUGGUGACUCUGAAUAACUUUGUGCUGAUCGCAGGGUCCUCGUACCGGCGACGCAUCUUUCAAAUGUCUGCCUUAUCAACUGUCGAUGGUAGGUUCUGCGCCUACCAUGGUUGUAACGGGUAACGGGGAAUCAGGGUUCGAUUCCGGAGAAGGAGCCUGAGAAACGGCUACCACAUCCAAAUAAGGCAGCAGGCGCGCAAAUUACCCACUCCCGGCACGGGGAGGUAGUGACGAAAAAUAACGAUACAGGAUUCAUCCGAGGCCCCGUAAUCGGAAUGACACUUUAAAUCGUUUAACGAAGAUCCAUUGGAGGGCAAGUCUGGUGCCAGCAGCCGCGGUAAUUCCAGCUCCAAUAGCGUAUAUUAAAGUUGUCGCGGUUAAAAAGCUUGUAGUUGAAUCUGUGUCGCACACCGUCGGUUCACCGCUCGCGGUGUCUAACUGGCGUGAUGUGGGACGUCCUACCGGUGGGCUUAGCCCCGCGAGGGGCGGCCCAACUAAUAUCCCGUCGCGGUGUUCUUUACUGAGUGUCGAGUCGGACCGGUAUGUUUACUUGAACAUAUUAGAGUGCUUAAAGCAGGCUACCUUUGCCUGAAUACUGUGUGCAUGGAAUAAUGGAAUAGGACCUCGAUUCUAUUUUGUUGGUUUUCGGAACCCCGAGGUAAUGAUUAAUAGGGACAGAUGGGGAUAUUCGUAUUGCGACGUUAGAGGUGAAAUUUUUGGAUCGUCGCAAGACGGACAGAAGCGAAAGCAUUUGCCAAAAAUGUUUUCAUUAAUCAAGAACAAAAGUUAGAGGUUCGACGGCGAUCAGAUACCGCCCUCGUUCUAACCAUAAACGAUGCCAGCUAGCGAUCCGCCGAAGUUCCUCCGAUGACUCGGCGGGCAGCUUCCAGGAAACCAAAGCUUUUGGGUUCCGGGGGAAGUAUGGUUGCAAAGCUGAAACUUAAAGGAAUUGACGGAAGGGCACCACCAGGAGUGGAGCCUGCGGCUUAAUUUGACUUAACACGGGAAACCUCACCAGGCCCAGACACCGGAAGGAUUGACAGAUUGAUAGCUCUUUCUUGAUUCGGUGGGUGGUGGUGCAUGGCCGUUCUUAGUUGGUGGAGCGAUUUGUCUGGUUAAUUCCGAUAGCGAACGAGACUCUAGCCUGCUAAAUAGGCGUACCUUAUGGUAUCGCAAAGGCCCGAUAAUGUUCUGGGCCGCACGCGCGCUACACUGAAGGAAUCAGCGCGUGUUCCCUGGCCGAAAGGCCCGGGUAACCCGCUGAACCUCCUUCGUGCUAUGGAUUGGGGCUUGCAAUUGUUCCCCAUGAACGAGGAAUUCCCAGUAAGCGCGAGUCAUAAGCUCGCGUUGAUUACGUCCUUUGUACACACCGCCCGUCGCUACUACCGAUUGAAUGAUUUAGUAAGGUCUUCGGACUAGUGCGCGGCAAUGUCUCGGCAUUGCCGAUGUUGCCGGGAAGAUGACCAAACUUGAUCAUUUAGAGGAAGUAAAAGUCGUAACAAAGUUUCCGUAGGUAAACCUGCGGAAG